GAUGAACGCUAGCGGCAGGCCUAAUACAUGCAAGUCGAACGGGAUCUGAGGGUAGCUUGCUACCCGAUUUGAGAGUGGCGCACGGGUGCGUAACGCGUGAGCAACCUACCCAUAUCAGGGGGAUAGCCCGAAGAAAUUCGGAUUAACACCGCAUAACAAUACGUUAACACAUGUUAAUGUAUUUAAAUAUUUAUAGGAUAUGGAUGGGCUCGCGUGACAUUAGCUAGUUGGUAAGGUAACGGCUUACCAAGGCGACGAUGUCUAGGGGCUCUGAGAGGAGAAUCCCCCACACUGGUACUAAGACACGGACCAGACUCCUACGGGAGGCAGCAGUAGGGAAUAUUGGUCAAUGGGCGCAAGCCUGAACCAGCCAUGCCGCGUGCAGGAUGACUGCCCUAUGGGUUGUAAACUGCUUUUGUUAGGGAAUAAACCUACUUAUGUAUAAGUAGCUGAAUGUACCUAAAGAAUAAGGAUCGGCUAACUCCGUGCCAGCAGCCGCAGUAA
rnacentral:rRNA from 1 species